rnacentral:rRNA from 1 species
CAGUAGCGGCGAGCGAACGGGGAGCAGCCCAGAGCCUGAAUCAGUGUGUGUGUUAGUGGAAGCGUCUGGAAAGGCGUGCGAUACAGGGUGACAGCCCCGUACACAAAAAUGCACAUGCUGUGAGCUCGAUGAGUAGGGCGGGACACGUGGUAUCCUGUCUGAAUAUGGGGGGACCAUCCUCCAAGGCUAAAUACUCCUGACUGACCGAUAGUGAACCAGUACCGUGAGGGAAAGGCGAAAAGAACCCCGGCGAGGGGAGUGAAAAAGAACCUGAAACCGUGUACGUACAAGCAGUGGGAGCACAGAGCAAUCUGUGUGACUGCGUACCUUUUGUAUAAUGGGUCAGCGACUUAUAUUCUGUAGCAAGGUUAACCGAAUAGGGGAGCCGAAGGGAAACCGAGUCUUAACUGGGCGUUAAGUUGCAGGGUAUAGACCCGAAACCCGGUGAUCUAGCCAUGGGCAGGUUGAAGGUUGGGUAACACUAACUGGAGGACCGAACCGACUAAUGUUGAAAAAUUAGCGGAUGACUUGUGGCUGGGGGUGAAAGGCCAAUCAAACCGGGAGAUAGCUGGUUCUCCCCGAAAGCUAUUUAGGUAGCGCCUCGUGAAUUCAUCUCCGGGGGUAGAGCACUGUUUCGGCAAGGGGGUCAUCCCGACUUACCAACCCGAUGCAAACUGCGAAUACCGGAGAAUGUUAUCACGGGAGACACACGGCGGGUGCUAACGUCCGUCGUGAAGAGGGAAACAACCCAGACCGCCAGCUAAGGUCCCAAAGUCAUGGUUAAGUGGGAAACGAUGUGGGAAGGCCCAGACAGCCAGGAUGUUGGCUUAGAAGCAGCCAUCAUUUAAAGAAAGCGUAAUAGCUCACUGGUCGAGUCGGCCUGCGCGGAAGAUGUAACGGGGCUAAACCAUGCACCGAAGCUGCGGCAGCGACGCUUAUGCGUUGUUGGGUAGGGGAGCGUUCUGUAAGCCUGUGAAGGUGUGCUGUGAGGCAUGCUGGAGGUAUCAGAAGUGCGAAUGCUGACAUAAGUAACGAUAAAGCGGGUGAAAAGCCCGCUCGCCGGAAGACCAAGGGUUCCUGUCCAACGUUAAUCGGGGCAGGGUGAGUCGACCCCUAAGGCGAGGCCGAAAGGCGUAGUCGAUGGGAAACAGGUUAAUAUUCCUGUACUUGGUGUUACUGCGAAGGGGGGACGGAGAAGGCUAUGUUGGCCGGGCGACGGUUGUCCCGGUUUAAGCGUGUAGGCUGGUUUUCCAGGCAAAUCCGGAAAAUCAAGGCUGAGGCGUGAUGACGAGGCACUACGGUGCUGAAGCAACAAAUGCCCUGCUUCCAGGAAAAGCCUCUAAGCAUCAGGUAACAUCAAAUCGUACCCCAAACCGACACAGGUGGUCAGGUAGAGAAUACCAAGGCGCUUGAGAGAACUCGGGUGAAGGAACUAGGCAAAAUGGUGCCGUAACUUCGGGAGAAGG